UCGCUGCUUGCUUCUCCACAUCAUCCCCGCUGACAGCACGCGCUCUCCCACGCCCCAGUCCCCCACACCCCCUCGAUCCCCACCGCCCGCCUCCCCUGCCAUUCUUCUAGAACCUGCCCCGCCCCCGCGAGCCUCCCGGAGCCCGCCCGCCGGCCUCCCGUACCCGAGAUCCCCCGGCGCAGCGCCAUGGUGUCGUGACGGCGGCGGAGGCGACGCCCAUGGAGCGGGAGCCCAUGUCCUCCGACGACCGCCCCGAGGCGGCUGCUGCUGCUGCGGCGGCGGAGCCGGUGCAGGAGCAGCCGCAGCCGCAGCCGCAGCCGCAGCCGCUGGAGUGGCGGUUCGCGCAGGUCUUCGGCGAGCGCGCGGCGGGCGAGGACGUCCAGGAAGUGGAUAUAAUAUCUGCAAUUGAGUUUGACAAAUCUGGUGAUCAUCUUGCCACUGGAGAUAGAGGUGGACGUGUGGUUUUAUUUGAAAGAACGGACUCUGGGGAUAGUUCUAGUCGAAGAGAACUUGAGGGGCAAGACUACCCGGUUGCUAGGCAUCCUGAGUUCCGCUACAGGACUGAAUUUCAGAGUCAUGAACCUGAGUUUGACUACCUAAAAAGUUUGGAAAUAGAGGAGAAGAUCAACAAGAUCAAGUGGUGCCAAAAAACCAACAAUGCAGUCUUUCUCUUGUCUACAAAUGACAAGACAAUCAAGUAUUGGAAGGUUCAGGAGAAAAAAGUGAAACGAGUUUCAGUGAUGAAUUUGGAUACCUCUCAAAGUUCAGGCAAUGGUUCAACUUCUAGUCCGGGUACCAAUAGUUGCAAAGCUCUUCUUCCAAAUGGUGGAUGCUCAGAAAAGUUGUACCAUCCAAACAACAAUAUGUCAUUUCCUCCUGGAGGAUGCGCAUCAUUGCGUUUGCCUGUGGUGGUUGUACUUAACCCACUUUAUCCAUCAUCUCUAGUGCUGUACAGCAUGAUGCAUCACUAGUACUUGCAUAUGCAAUACAAUAAUUUUCUUUUAAUUAUGACAUGAUACUAGUAGAUUUUUUUUUUCUAACAAACUAUAAAUAGUAUUCAUAGAGAAGUCUGAGUAGAUUCCUUUACUAUGUAUGCAGGUUACAGGCCAAGACUUAAACCAUGUUGCGAGAUGCCGACGUGUAUAUGCACAUGCUCAUGAUUACCAUAUUAAUUCCAUUUCAAAUAAUAGCGAUGGUGAAACAUUCAUAUCAGCAGAUGAUCUGCGAAUAAACCUAUGGAAUCUUGAAAUUAGCAACCAGAGCUUUAACAUUGUCGAUGUGAAACCUGUAAACAUGGAGGAUCUAACCGAUUCGAGGAGCAUGAUGCACCUGGAUCAAGAUCCUUUUUUACAGAGAUAAUCACAUCAGUUUCAGAUAUAAAGUUUGCAAGGGAUGGAAGACACAUUCUUAGUCGUGAUUAUAUGACUCUCAAGUUAUGGGAUCUAAACAUGGACUCCGGGCCAGUUGCAACUUUCCAAGUUCAUGAAUACUUAAGGCCUAAGCUUUGUGAUCUAUACGAAAAUGAUUCAAUUUUUGACAAAUUUGAAUGUUGUCUCAGUGGGGAUGGACUCCGUGUUGCUACUGGUUCCUAUAGUAAUUUGUUUCGUGUGUUUGGUUGUGCUCCUGGAAGUAUGGAGGCAUCCACUUUGGAAGCCAGCAGAAAUCCCAUGAGGCAUCAGGUUUCUAAUCCAGCAAGGCCUUCACGGACUCUGACCUCUUUUACCCGUGCCGUGAGGAGAGGUGGAGAAAAUACAAGCGUUGAGGCCAAUGGAAAUUCUUACGACCUCUCAACAAAAUUGCUUCAUCUUGCAUGGCACCCAACUGAGAACUCCAUCGCGUGUGCCGCUGCAAAUAGCUUGUACAUGUAUUACGCAUAGGGAACAUGCUAGAGAAAUUGAAUGUUCUUGUUUUUGGUCGACGUGAAAGCCUUGGCCUUUCACAUGCAACAAGGGGGAUAUGGUGCAGGAAAUUGUUGUCGAUUCCAUGGUUGGGGCCAAAAAGAGGCACUCAUGAUCGCCCACAAGACAAGUCCUGUUACUACUUGCUGCCCAUACUGGACUGCCUUCUUCGGAUUCUUUAGUAAACGUGAAGCAUGUGUUCUGAUCAUGUCGAAGCUUUUGGUCCCAAUAUAUGAUGACUGUAGUAGGCUAGUAGCUGCUUUGUAGGGAAAUCGGCAGCUGAAUGAUAAAGCAGAAGAUAGAUGAUGCUAAUCCCACAAAAGGUCACAGGAAUACCUGCUCAAAUAUCACAAAGGUUGUAAGUUUUCUUUUCUUCCCUUGUUACAACAUGUAAUGGGGACAUAGCCAGGACUAACCAUCAGUUGUCAGAACUUUGAGGUCGUUGAGUAUAAAAAUUUGUCAUAGCUAUUGUAGUUCUUCUUGGCUGCGGUUGUAUUCAUUAUAUUAUUCAAGUAAGUUCUUCUUGGAUGCUCUGUUCUCUUUGUAGCACCUGCAUUUAUGAUGUAAAAUGUGCUGUCUCGCAGCGCAAGAAUUGGUAUAUGGUCUUGAAACCUUUCUGAUUGCAAGAA